GUCCCACGGUGAUUCCAAAGGCACAGUCAUAAAUGACGAAGAUGAAACAAACAAAGCGGUGGAAAGUCUUCAGCGUGGCUAAGCUAACAUCAACUCAAAGACUGAAAGGCAGCACCCCUCCCAACAUUUCCACUAUGCUUUUUCUAUUUUUCUAUUCCUUUUAUAUAAGUGACAAAACUACAAAGGUUCAAACAGUGUUGCAAGUUACUAGCUUCUCCUUAUUAGUUUACCCUGUAUACCUUUCAGAAAUGAAGAUCCUUCAACCAAAAAAUUAAAUACAUAGGAUUUGUAUAAGGUUGAGCAAAAUUUAUAUUUAAUUAAAGUACAUAAAAUAUUCUGUUUGUUUCUUGUGUGAAACAUAGUGAUUUGACAUUUGUAUACAUUGUGAAAUGAUCACCACAGUAAGUAUAGUUGCUAUCAGUUAUCACACAGAGUCAAUAUAAUAUUAUUGACUGCAUUCCCCAUGCUGUACAUUACAUCCCCAUGACUUAUUUUAUAACUGGAAGUCUGUAACUUUUGAUCCUCUUCACCUAUUUGUCCUCUUCCAACCACUUUUAUUGGGGUUCCCUGAUGGCUCAGCUGGUAAAGAAUCCACCUGCAAUGCAAGAGACCCCGGUUUGAUUCCUGGGUCAGGAAGAUCUGCUGGAGAAGGGAUAGGCUACUCACUCCAGUAUUUUGGGGUUUCCCUGGUGGCUCAGCUGAUUAAGAAUCUGUCUGCAAUGUGGGGGACCUGGGUUCAAUCCCUGGGUUGGAAAGAUCCGCUGGUGAAGGGAUUGGCUGCCUGCUCCAGUAUCCUGGCCUGGAGAAUUUCAUGAAUCCUGGAGAAGGGAACAGCUACCCACUCCAGUAUUCUGGCCUGGAGAAUAUACAGUCCAUGGAAUUGCAAAGAGUCGGGCAUGACUGAGUGACUUUCACUUUCAACCGCUUUUAUCAGACUUAUUUCAUUUAGCAUAAUACCCUCAACGUCCAACUAUAUAAUAAAUGGCAAAACUUUUCCUUUUUUAUGGCUGAGUAAUAUUACAUUGUAUAUAUGUAUAUCACAUCUUCUUUAUCCAUUUAUCUAUCUAUAGACACUUAGCUUGUUUCCAUAUUUUGCUAUUAUAAAUAAUGCUGCAAGGAAUAUUGGAGAGCAUAUAUCUUUUAGAGUUAGUGGCUUUUUUUCUUUGGUUAAAUACCCAGAAUUGGAAUUUCUGGAUCAUAUGGUAGAUCUACUUUUAAUUUUUUGAGAAGCUUUCAUACUGUUUUCCAUAGUGGCUGUACCCAUUUAUAUUCCUAUCAACAGAGCACAAGUGUUCCCUUUUGCCACAUCUUUACCCACAGAGUGCCUUUAUUUAAACAAAAGGCAAAGGCACAACUGAGUGAAAGCAGUUCUGUGAGAAGCUAAGAAGCUAAGAUUAUUCCAAAGGACACGGGUGCCAACUGAAAAAGCCUACGAAACUACAAAAAUUUGAGUUCCCCUCCCCCCCAAAAAGCAGUAUUUGACUAUAACCCAAAGUAUAAAGCAAAUAUCUCUGAGUUCAUACUGACAAAAGGAAAUGAUUGAAUCAUAAGUGUGGUGGGUGGUGGGAGAUAAAUCUCCAUGAAGAAAUUUUAUAAAUCCUUUAUGAAGGUACUCUAAUUCUCCAUUCCUUAAGUACAGUUGUACUUAGUGACUUCUUUCAAAGCAUACAUUAUUUGAAAGAGGAGGAAUUAACUUUACAGUGGAGAAAAAUAAUUAAAUGCUAUUCAAGCCAGAUGGUCACAGUCAGUACCACCAGAUAUGUCAGUUUGACAGUCUUUACUGUUGGUAUGAUGUGAUGAAACUGAUACUUUACCUCUGAUUUUCCUCCCCUAAACCCAUAACUUUAGUCUGAUCAUGAUAAAAACAUCAAACAAAUUGCAUUGUAGGAGUUUUAUGUACCAUCUUCUCAAUUUUGUAAAUAUAAACCUGUUACGAAAGAAAGUUUAUUUAAAAACUUGAGUGCAUUAAAAAUGUUCAUUAUCAUCUAUAGCCUUAUAAUCCUUUCUUAUUUAGUAUGUUUAUUUUUCAUUCUGCUCUGAACAUUAUUAAAUUGAUAAUUAUAAUGCUUCCAAAUUCA
rnacentral:lncRNA from 1 species